GACUUCCCCUGCCACCCGCCCUCUUUCUCCUCACAGCUCACUCGCUCUCUUUUUUUCUCCCUGUAUUGCCAAGACCAUGGUGUCCUAGAAACUAUAGUAGAUGUCACUGCUUGGCACUUUCUGUGCAGAGAGGACAAGUAUGUGGGCGCAGGGGGGUGGCGGAAAGCUACUCUUAAAGCCACAGAGGCUGCAUUGGCUAGGAGCUGGAGCUGGAGCGAGGCUGUUUUUCUGGAGCCUUUGAAAUCAGCAUGGCGAAAAGCAUCUGAUUUGGAUUCCAGAAAAAACACAGGCACUGUUUGAGGGACUGGACCCACUGACAUCUUCAACCACCGGCUUCUUCACCUCUCAGGACACACUGAGCUAGCUGAGAGCCUUGACGUGCUGCUCUGUGUCAUUAGCCACACGCUGGGAUCAUCGGGGGUUACAGGGACUAAUCUGAGGCGUUCUCCAGUAAGAAGACAGAGUGCCUACUCUGUAGUCUCAGUGGGAAGAUAGAAACGGACAAGCAAUUAAGACACCGAGAUGAUGCUGAUGAGGAGAGCAGUUAGCCAUGUCUGAAGACUCAUGGAGACAAAACCAUGUUUGGAAGUGCAAAGUACCUUAAAUGUUGUUGGUCUUCUGUGAUGGAUACUUUUCUCGUGGCACCAAUUAGAAGCCAAACUCCCAAGGAACAAGAACCACCCCUGAUUCUCUAGAGCCUCAUCAUGGUAUCCAAGUGACUCCCUUUUCCUUUGAGGUACGCAAUAACUUUUUAUUAGUACCGACAUUAAGCCAUGGGGCUAUCUCCUGCUGUCUGAACUGGCUCCUGCAACGGAAAUAUUGUUAUCUAAACUAGAACUGAGUUAAAGCACUGGCCUUUAGACUAAGGAAGCUUUCAAAAACAUGGAUUUCGGGCACUUUUGGCGAGCUGGUGUCCCUUAGCGCCCCGUUUGUAGGAAGAAACGGACUAUUCCCAAGCAGGGAUGUGAGACAAGUGUGCUGUUUCAGACCCAACGCAGGGCCAGCUUGAAAGACGCGUUGGAAGGGAGAGGAAAGAGUGGUAAAAAUACCAGCUAGAAAGCAAUGCCAUGGAAAACAAUGUUUUCCUUUCCUGCCAAAAGGACAUGUUUACUUUUUAAAAGUUUUUUUGUAAUGUUGUAUUUAAGAAAUAAAUUUGAAACUCACAUUAUUGCCCAACAAUAUUGAGCGUACUUGACACUCUGUCCAUUUUGGAGAAAGUUCUGCUCAGAGUUGUGUGAUCCAAAUUCGUGUAAGGAAAAUCCUGACAGUCUUCCACUUCGUCACGCCUGGGCUGAGGGCAGAUGACUCACUGUAUGAAUUCAAGUUAAAUCGCUUAACCUUUUUCUCUUAUUCAACCCAUCUGGGAGGCUGAGUACACGCGCUUCACUACGGAACAGAUGGUGCGCCAAAGCUAAAUUUUCCCAGAUUAAAAAAGAGGAAAAAUGUGUGAGAAGCUCUGAAAGAACCAAAUAUGGAAAAAGACCAAGGAUUAAAAGGAAAAGAGCUAUAAAUUGGAUCAGACCUUUUCCCCUGUUUAAAAAAAAAAAAAGUAAUGUAAUGCUUAAAAAAGAAGUUGUGUGAGAUGAUUUGGAGACAAAGUUAGCAGAAUGUUUCAUAAACUCCAUAUGUGCAAGGGUGGCCAUGAAGGGUGGCAUCAAUGGUGGGGAGAUAUUCUGCGCUGUCUCAUUCACCAAUAUGCCUCACGAAACACAGUCAUACAGAGAUGGUGUUUGAUUAUUUAUUUGAUAACUCUAAAAUUGAGUACUCAUAACAACUAUUUCUUAAGAAUUCUUAUGGAACUAUCUAAAUUGCAGCUUAGUGAAAUUUAACACUAGCUCACAAAUAAAAAAGAUUCCCAACAUGUUCUAGGAUGAAUAUAAUUUCUAACCUGUCCUUGAAAAAAAAAAGUGUAUUCAUUGCUUUAAGGAAAGAGACAUCAUUGCCCUUGCUAAGUUGGUAUGAUUUUAAUCUUACUGUGCAUAAAAAAAUGUUCUAAGUUCAAAUGUAUUUACAGCUCUCAUAUUUUAUGGAACAAGAAAUGUCCUAUGGUCAUAGAUAAAGCAAACAUUUGGAUGCACCAAGUUGAACAUACUAGGAAAAGCCUGCAUCUUUUUAUUUCCCGACUGGUUCUGAUAAACUUAGGGAAUGUUAGCUUAGCAUUUAAAAGAUGUAGUUUAUGGAUGAGGCUAGAAUUGAAACCUGAGAAACUCACAUAAUAGACUUCCAGAUGCCACACAUAAAAAUCCAUAUGGGACUUUGGUCUAGGGAUGGACUCCAGAGGCCCCACUUUAGUUGAGGCAACUAGCCAAUGCAAACUUCCUUCAGUUUAUUUUCAAAAAUCAUAUUAUGUAUCAAAAUAAAAGUAUGUGCAUUUUCCCCAAAUAAUCACUUUAUUAUUGAACUUGGGUCAUACUCCCGAUCCUAGGACGUCCAGAUGAGGUGUAGCUAAGUGGAUAAGAAGCAACAAGAAGAGACAAGCAAACACUGCUCUUCUCAAGGAGAACUUCAUGUGACUACUACUCUAAUUUUCUUCUGAGAAAACAGUAAAUGAAAACUGGCCAGAAUUAUGGCAUAAAUGCUAAUAGCAAUGAACACCCAGAUAAUGAUCAAUAUCCAGUUUAACAUAGUCCUUCCUCAAUAUGGCAAAUACAUUCUUGGGACUAUGCCUUAGUCACUGUUCAACUGCUGUGAAGAGACACCAUGACCAAGGCAACUCUUACAAAAGAAAGCAUUUGACUGGGGGCUUGCUCACAGUUUCAGAGGGAUGGUAGCUGGGAACUACAUCCUAAUCUGUAGACAGAGAGAGCAAGCCUGUGUCUAGCAUGGGCUUUUGGAAUCUCAAACCCCACACCCAGUGAUACACUUCCUCCAACAAAGCCACACCCCCAAUCCUUGUAAUCCUUUCAAAGAGUUUCAUUCCCUAGUGUCUAAGCAUACAAGUAUAUGAGCCUAUGGGGGCUAUUCUUAUUCAAACCACCACAGAAUGUUUAUGUAAAUAAGUCUGAAAGUAACUAAUCAAAUAUUCCGAGACUUCUUAACUAAUGUGUGUGUGUACACACUCAUAUGAACUCAUAUAUUUUAUAUAUUCAAAUUAUAUUUUCACUGCUCACUAAAUUUCACUAAAAACAAAAGCUAAACUACUGCCAUGCCAAAUUGAGCUACUUAAAAUUAAUUUUUGAUCAGGAGACAUGGAGCUUAUAUAUUUCAAAGGGACCUUUAUCAGACAGGCCUGAAUAUAAGCGUCCUAUGGAUUUUUUACUUGCUCCCUGGCCUGUAUGUAUGAGUUCCUCUAAGUAGGACUUCAGCUAAAGAUUCAAAGUAAAGUCUUUCUACAGGGUUCUGAAGGCAAACCCAAAAUGCUCAGGACCAUCUUGCUCACUACAGUGCAUCAAAUCCACAUAUAUCUGUGGCUACACGACGUGACCACCAGUGGAAAGAUGUUAGUUCUCUUAGAUGAUGCUUUUGAGCAUUUCCUUCUCACUACUGUGCUGUGCCUUCAGACAGUCUUUUCAUCUUCAUUCUGAGUAUAAAUUCUUUAGUAAUUCAUGCUGAAUGUCCCCCCUCUUCUUUUUCCAGAGCUAAGCCUAGGGAUGGCAUGAUACUUGGCUUCCAUGUGGGUUGGGAAUAAUUUCCAAUCCCAUCACCAUAUAGUCCAUGACUGAUGGUAGGUAAGUAGUCAGCCUCACUUAAGAACAGUACAUUUCCAUGUACAUACUCAUAGCCCACAAUGCAAUAUGAAUAAAAUAAUCAUCAUAAAAACACUACCAAAUUUUACUCUUUUCAUAAAUCUAGUAUAGAAGUGUUCUUUUUGUUGUGUUGAUGAGCAACACUGAAAAAAAUACUAGAAUCUUAUUGAGUUGGUCUUACUUCCUUUCCACUCUGUACAGAAGAGCUGAAACGGAAAAUGGGUAUGGUAUGCACAUAUACUUCAAGCUUUACCUAUUUCAUAAUCUCACAAAAUGUAUUUGUGUCUUAGUGAUUAUAAGUCUCCAAAUAGGUGAUAAAUUGGGAAGGAAAAUGAGACAUUUCUGUAUGAAUGAGAAUUUUCUAGCUUGUUGUCAAAGCUCAAAUGUGGUACAGUGUCACUUAAAACACAUUUUACAAUAGUAAAUAAACUGGCCACCAAAUAUUCAAAUUAAAAAAACCCACAUUUUAGAAUAAACAGCUAAUGUGUAGCUUCCCACAUGGCUGGUGAUUCUAUUAGAUAAGAAAAUGUGCAUUUUUAUAGCUAUCAGGACAAUUUUAGGGAGUAUGAAAAAAGAUAAAGGAUGUAAUAAAUUUUAAUAAAUUUAUCUUCUAUUUUCUUAGCACUAUGACAGUAGCUUUUACAUCAUUAUCUCAUUUACUCUUUCAACCUGUCCUUGGUAUACACUUUACUUAAUUUCCUGGGUUUGUUUUGGUUAGCAUGUUGAACAAUGGUCUUCAUUAUGUUAUUUUCAUAUACAAACAUUACUGGACUGUGCUGGUCCACCCGCCCCCACACAUCUUCCCUGUCCUCCUCGCUGGUCCCUUCCUACUCAGAUAGCAUCUUUUUCUUCUUAUUCAUCAUAUGUAUUCCAUUAACAUCUCUUUUUCCUGUGUCUCUUCAGAUAUCUGCCUACCUCCUCACUGUGUCCUUUCUACUUUCAUGACCACACACAGAGAGAAGUACAUGCAUACAUGCAUACAUACACACAUAAUUUUAAAUCUAGAUUCUCCCAAGUGUAUUUUCUUUUACUUAACCUAAUGAUUUCUAGUUCCAUCCAUUUUCUUGAAAAUGUUACUAUUUAAUUUUUUUUAAUGACUGCACAAAGUUUCCUUGUGUAUCUGUGCCACAUUUUCUCUGUCUAUUCAUCUGUUGAUGGACAUCUAGGCUGGUUCCCAUCUCCUGCUAUUGUGAACAGUGAAGCAAUGAACAUGAAUGUGCAAGUAUCUCUGUGGCAUGUUGACUCAGGGUCUUUCAGGUGUGAAUCCAAGAUGGUCUAGUAGGGUCCUGUGGUGAUUUUAUUGUUUUGCUUUUUGAGAAGCCUCAACACUGAUUUCCAUAGUGGCUGAAUGAGUUUACAUUCUUAGCAGCAGUAAAGAAGAGGUCCUCUUUCCCCACAUAGUCAUCUGCAUUUGUAAUCAUUUAUCUUGGCUAUGGCAUUCUGGCUGAGGUGACACAGAAUCUUAAAGCAGCUUUAAUUUGCAUUUCCUGAUGGCUGAGGCAGUUAAACAUGCAAGUACUUACUAGUCAUAUUGUUUCUUCUUUUGAGAAGUAUAUAUUCAAUUCCUUAGGCCAUUUAUUGAUUGACAUCGGAUUUUUGGUGCUUAACUAUUGCAGUUCUUUAUAUAUCUUAGAUAUUAAUCCCCUAUCUGAUGUAUAAUUGAAAAAGAUCCCCCCAAUUCUAUGGGUGGUCUCUUCCUAGUGAUUAUUUCCUGUGCUGUAAGAAGCUUUUUAAUUUUACAUAAUACCAUUUGUCAACAGGAAGAUAAUUUAAUUAAUUAAUUAAUUCAGUUCUCAAGACAGGGUUUCUCUGUGUAGCACUGGGUAUCCUGGAACUCACUCUGUAGACCAGGCUGUUCUCAAACUCAAGAGAUAUGUUUGCCUCUGCCUCCUCAGUGCUGGGAUUAAAGACAUGCCGGUUUUUAUGGCAGUACCAAGUUGUUUUUAUUACUGUUGCUCUAUAGUAGAGCUUGAAGUCAGGGAUCGUGAUGCCUCCAGAGGUUGUUUAAUUGUGCAGGAUUCUUUUGGCUAUCCUGGGUUUGUUGUUUUUCCAUAUGAAGUUGAGUGUUGUUCUUUCCAGGUCUGUGAAGAAUUGUGUUGAGAUUUUGAUGGGGAUUGCAUUGAAUCUGUAGAUUGCUUUUGGUAAGAUUGCCAUAAAUGGAUGGAACUAGAAAAUAUCAUCCUGAGUGAGGUAACUCAGACUCAGAAAGACAAACAUGGUAUGUACUCACUCAUAAGUGAAUACUAGAUGUAAAGCAAAGGAUAACCAGACUGCAACUCACAACUCCAGGGAGGCUACCUAGUAAAGAGGACCAUAAGAAAGACACAGUGAUCGCCCAAUGACAGAGAAAUGGAUGAGAUCUAC